CUUCGGUCGUAAGCCUGUCGGAAGGGAAGAAAAACGAAAUGGCUAACAUCCAUCUCGCUUGACGGUACCUUCAGAGGAAGCACCGGCUAACUACGUGC
rnacentral:rRNA from 1 species